UGGCCAAUACAGUCAAAUCAUACAAUAACUGCCAAUCAUGCUGGUGCCUCAAUCCCUUAAAAUCUGACCAAGUCAAAAGAUGAAGCUAGUAAUAUAAUAAUAUGAAUUAUGAAAAUAAAAUGACACUUUAUGAAGAAGCAAAACGGUCUUUGAAAAAGUUCAAGGGAGAAGGAGGUCAAGUGAAGGGUGUAGCUCAAAGUAUAAAACUUGAACCAACCUUUUUGGCUGAAAACGAGGAAGCAUUGUGGGCUGCAGGUUAUGUGAAAAGGGGUAACAGCUAUGGCUAUAAACGUGGAGGCCGCUAUAGCAGAGGUGGAGGACGUGGACAAGGAUUUCAGUCAUCUCAAAGAGGGGCAAAGAAUUUAAACCCAUCAGGACCAGAUGGGAAACUUUUAACAUGCAGAUCAUGUGGAUCCUACAGACAUCUUGUUGCAAAAUGUCCAGACAGCUGGGAAAAUCUGUCAAAAGUCCAUAUUACAGAAGAGGAAGAACAUGCUGUUUUAUUCACUGGAUACCAAAAACAAGACAUUAAACAGCUAGGAAAUGAUGCUCGUAAUUGUGCAGUAUUGGACAGUGCAUGUAGUAGUACAGUAUGUGGAAAAACAUGGCUCAACAGUUAUCUUUAUUCAUUGAAUGAAGAGGAUCGUGAAAAGGUUGUCAAUCGCAGCGGACAUAAAGUAUUCAAGUUUGGAGGAGGAACCAGGCUCAAAUCAGUUGGAGAGUAUGAUUUGCCUAUUUGUAUGGUUGGUGAGCAAGUGAAACUAAAAACUGAUGUGGUUGAUUCAGAUAUCCCUCUCUUGCUUUCAAGGUCUGCUAUGAAAAAGGCCGGAGUAAAAAUGGAUUUAGAGAAUGACACAGCAAUAAUUAUGGGAAAGGAAGUAUCACUGAAUCUUACAUCAUCAGGGCACUAUUGUAUACCCAUAGAUAAGACAGAAACAUUGAAAGUAGAAGAAGUAAAUGCUGUCAGGUUAGAUGAAUUGAAUGUAGAGAAAAGAAAAACAGCUUUACUCAAACUUCAUCGUCAAUUUGCACAUCCACCUAAAAAACGCCUUGUGGCAUUGCUAAAAGAUGCUGGGACUUGGAAAGAGGAAUAUGAUGAGGACCUAUCAGAAAUUCAAUCUAAAUGUGAUCUAUGUAAAAUGUAUGCUGUGACACCACCAAGGCCAGUAGUCUCAAUGCCUAUGGCAAAACAAUUUAACGAAAAAGUUACAAUAGAUUUGAAACAGUAUAAAGACCGUUGGAUUCUCCAUAUGAUAGACAUGUGGUCAAGAUAUACAGUGUCAGUCUUUAUAAAUAGAAAGAAACCUACUAAUGUAAUAGAGGCAUUAAUGAAAAACUGGGUAGGAAUUUUCGGAGUCAUGGGAGCUCUCAUGUCUGACAAUGGAGGUGAAUUUAGUUCUGAUGAGAUGAGGGAGGUAGCAUCUAUUUUAAAUGUUAAAGUAUGUACAACAGCUGGAAUGAGCCCAUAUCAGAAUGGACUUUGUGAACGUGUACAUGCUAUUACUGAUAUUAUGCUGAUGAAACUUGAGGCUGAAAAUAAAAAUGUAGAAUCAGGAACACUUUUAUCAUGGGCAAAUAUGGCACGGAAUUCACUGCAAAUGUGGAAUGGUUUCAGCAGUCACCAAUUAGUUUUUGGUAAAAAUCCUAAUUUGCCAAACUUAAUGCAUGCACAGCUACCAGCAUUAGAGGGAACAACUGGUAGUGAGGCAUUUGCUAAACAUUUAAAUACUUUACAUGAGACACGAAAAGCUUAUAUUCAAACUGAAGCAGACGAAAGAAUCCGCAGAGCUUUGCGCUCAAAAGUAAGAGCAGCUGAACAAGUAUAUGAGAAUGGUGACAUGGUGUUUUACAAAAGGGAAGGGAAAGAACGUUGGCUCGGACCAGGGAAAGUAGUAUUUCAAGAUGGAAAAGUUGUUUUUGUCAGACACGGUGGAGUAUUUGUUAGAGUAUCCCCAAACAGAUUAUGCAAAAUAAAUACUGAUUUGGGAGAAAAUAAAGAACAAGAUAACAUAGCGUUGAAGAAAAGUGACAUUAUUAUUAGUAAUGAAAUUAAAGAACAAACUAAUGAAGAAAAGAAAUCCUUUGACAUUAUUUCAGAAACUAUAACAAGUGCACCUCAAGAAGAUCCAUCUCAUGAAGCAACAGCUGUUAGUCAUAAUUUACAGCUUAUAAAGAAAGAUGAUAACAUUCGAUAUAAACUACAAGGCUCAGAUGAAUGGAUCAGUGCAACUGUGCUUGGAAGAGCGGGCAAAGCAACAGGAGGGAACAAAAGUUGGUAUAAUGUGAAAGAUCAUGUAAGCGAUGAACAAAAAAGUGUAGACUUGGGUAAUCUAGAAUGGAAUAUUUUAGAAGACCAGACCAAUGACAUUGAAGUUCAAACAACUGAUGAAGUGGAUCAAAAUGAUAGUGACAUUGCAAAGCAACUAGAAUUACAAAAGCUGAGACAAUUUAACACUUAUGAGGAAGUUGAAGAUGGUGGUCAAAAGACAAUUUCUACUAGAUGGGUAAUAACUAAUAAAAAUGGAGAAACUAGAGCUAGAUUAGUAGCUCGGGGUUUUGAAGAACACUCUUUCAUUCCUAAAGAUAGUCCUACAAUAGGAAAAGGAUCUAUUAGAAUAUUCCUUACAUUUGCUGCAAGCAAGAAAUGGUCAAUAAAAACUACCGACAUUAAAUCAGCAUUUCUACAAGGAAAGAAAUUAGAUCGUGAUGUCCAUAUUAAACCUCCAGUUGAAAGUGAUACACCAAAAGGACUCAUUUGGAAACUUAAACAUGGAUUGUAUGGACUAAAGGAUGGCGCUAGGCAGUUUUAUAUAAGUGUUAAGGAUGAACUCUUAAAUUUAGGAUGCAGACAAUCAAAACUUGACCCUGCUUUGUUUAUUCUGACAGUAAAGGGAUCUCUUCAAGGUAUUUUCUGUUGUCAUGUAGAUGACUUUCUCCAUGCAGGAAAUGAAGAAUUUGAGAAACUGAUGGAAAAAUUGAGGAAGAGAUUUAUAGCAGGAAAAAUUGAAGAAGAGAAUUUUCGUUAUAUAGGUUUUAUGAUAAAGCAAAACAAUGAAGGUAUACAACUUGAUCAUUCAAUUUACAUGGAAAAACUAGAUCACCAACAUAUAGAGCCACAGCGUGCAUUUCAGAAAUUGAAACAACUUACCCAAGAAGAGCAGAAAGAUUAUCGCAGAAUGGUUGGGCAACUGAACUGGGCAGUGCAAGGAUCAAGACCAGAUUUGGCUUUUGAACUUGUUGAUUUAAGUACUAAAUUGAAAAGUGCAUUAGUUUGUGAUCUUUUACGUGCUAUUAAAAACAUUGGAAAGUUAAAGGACAUAAGGCCUAUUCAGCUUUUCCCAUCAUUAAAAGGAAAGGAAACAGAAGACUGGGAAAUUUUUGUAUUUAGUGAUGCAGCAUUAGGAAAUAUAAAUGAUGGUAAAGGGAGUACAGGAGCUCACAUUGUUUGGAUAAAAGAUAGAAUAGGAAAAUGUUGUCCAAUUUCAUGGCAAGCCAAUAAGAUCAAAAGGGUUGUUCGUUCUACUAUAGCUGCAGAAGCUUUAAGUCUGCAGGAUGGAUUAGAAACAGCAUUAUAUUUUCGGAGUAUUAUUGAGGACAUUUGUGGAGUUGCACAAAGAACUAUACCUAUUACAGCUUUUAUUGACAACAAAAGUGUUACCGAGGCAUUAAAAUCAACCAAGUUGGUAGAGGACAAAAGAUUAAGAAUAGACAUUGCAUCUAUAUCUGAAAUGAUUGAAAACAGCUGUGUUGAAGUAAAAUGGUGUCCAGGAAAAGUCCAAUUAGCAAAUUCUAUGACCAAAAGAGGAGCUUCUGGAAUUGAACUCUUAAAUGUGCUACAGAAAGGACAAAUGCCUGAAGAAUUUGUGUGAAUCAAUAGUAUUAACAUUUACAUUUACUUUUACAUUUGUUUUUCGGAAAAGGGGCAGAAUAAUCCCCGUGACCUGAGGAUAGUCCAAUCCCAUGAAGGUUACAUCAAAAUUAAUUUUUUCAUUCUUUGUUUUCGGAAAAAGGGGCAGAAUAAUCCCCGUGACUUGAGGACAGUCUAUCCUAUGACAGUCACAUCAAAAAUUAGUUAAUCACCAUAUUUUGUUCAUUGAGCUAAAGAAUUGUGUUAUCUCAUAAAGACUUAUUAACGUUACAAAAGAAGACAUUUUAAUUAAUGUUGAUAACUUAAAUCACUGUAUCAAGAAAGAUAACUCUUACUCUCUGUAAUAAGCUCUUUUGUCUUAAAGAUGCUAACUGUCUCUUGGAUGAAUAAAAUGGUGUAACUAACAUGUGUUAACAAUGCGUAC
rnacentral:sRNA from 1 species